AGCUACUUCAGAGUUGCAGGAUAAAGAUUUCUAGGGAAGAGGGCAGGGCCAGGCGCCCGGAGAAUUUCCAGCCACGGGCUAGUUUACCAAGAGAAAGAGCUGCGGGCGUCUCUCCCUCUUUUACAUAAGAAAGCAAGAGCUUUCUUCUGGCACAUCUGGUUUAUGUGAAUACAUUAGUGAGUUUCCCAGGAAGCCGCAGCAUCACACAAAGGCCCAUGAUCAUUUCACCAGUACACUGUAUCCUGACAAUAGCCUGGUGUCACAGCUAAGUCCUGGACGGAGAAUUGGCAAAUGUGUGCUCUUUCCUGGACCUGCAACUAAUGUCUCUUACAAGUCCCAUAACUGGAACUUCUUCAUCUUAAGAAAAUAAAAAGGGGCUGGGCAUGGUGGCUUAUGCUUGUAAUCCCAGCACUUUGGGAGGCCGAAGUGGGAGGAGUGCUUGAGCCUGGGAAGGA